rnacentral:lncRNA from 1 species
CAAAAGUGCUUCUGGGAAUGUGGUGGCCGGCACUGACGGCGAAUGAGCUGGAGCAUUUGUUUGCAAGUUCCUCGGCCUUGGCUUCCGGGAUGGUCGUCCUGUUCAACUCUCUUUUUCACUUUUCUAUUGAGCUUCCAGCAGUCCCCCUCUAUCACAGUUUCGCUUUCGGAGGUUUCAGUUACUUGCAGUCAACCCCGGUGUGAAAAUAGAGUCUUACUCUGUCACCCAGGCUGGAGUACAGUGGUGCGAUCUCGUCUCACUGCAGCCUCUGCCUCCUGGGCUCAAGCAAUUCUCCUGCCUCAGCCUCCCGAGUAACUGGGAUUACAGUGAUUCCAUAAAUGGUCAUUAUAAAAGAAACUGCAGAAAUGAAAAAAGCUGUCCAUCAUAAUUAAAGGCCAGGUUGGCACUGAUCACAAUCUACGUGUACUUCAGGAUGAAUACAUGACCAACAAUCUUGUCUGGCUCUCCUCCUGUGGAUUAUUUGAUUGAAUGACUUUCAAAGCCUGUCUUUGUUUUGUGUUGCUAUAAAGGAAUAUCUAAGACUGGGUAAUAACUUACAAAGGAAAAAAGGGUUUAUUUGGCUCACAAUACUCAUGUCUGGAAAAGUUGAAGACUGGGCAUCUGGUGACGGCCUCAGGCUGCUCCCACUCAUGGUGAAAAGCAAAGUGGAGUGUCAUGUGCAAGAGAUCACAUGGUAGGAGGGGAAGCAAGAGAGAGAUUGGGGACGUGCCAGGUUCUUUUUAACAACCAGUUCUCAAAGGACCCAGCUGAGCGAGAACUCACUUACCCCUGAGAAAGUUCAUCAAUUUACUCAUGAGGGAAGCACCCCCGCCCUACCUCCAACAAUGGGAUCAAAGUCCAACAUUAGCCUUGGGGGACAAUCAUUCAAACUUUUGCAGCCUAUCACUAUUUUCAGUUCUUCCACUUAGACAUGUCUUUGCUCAAAAAGAUAUGGCCAAAAAGAGAAGGGGACUCUCAACCUUAUUCCUCAUCCCACACUCCCCAACAUGGACAUUUCUGGCACUCUUAGAUUAAACCUGGCACUCCUUGACUAAAUCUAGAUGUUAAACAUUGUUUACUCUGGGCUAGUGUCAUGUUUUCAACUAUUUUUAACUAUUACCUUGUUUGAUAAG